rnacentral:rRNA from 1 species
AAUGAUUACCCUGAACGGUGG